rnacentral:rRNA from 1 species
AUGACCGAUACAGGGAUGAAAGCCUCAGACACUCCACCUGGUGACACACCCAAGGCUGGCAUACAAAGCAAAGAAAAAGUGGACACACAAACGGAUAUCCCAACCACCAGCGCAAAGGAAACAAACGAGGACGGUCAUGCCAAAGAACAGCAAGGAGUACAGACAGAACAAACCAAAAAACAAGGGCAAAUGGUGACUAAAACGAUACCCAGUACACCAUCAUCAAAGACCAGCGAGAUGCAAGAAACAGGGGAGAGCACCAACAUUCAAGGCAAACAAACACAACAACACAGGGGAAUGGAACAAGCAGAAGAUGUUCUUCCAACAACAAACAACCUAACCGCCGUAGACCAAGCCGGAAAACCUUCGCUGUCCGGGCAAGAAAUAACAGAGAUGGCAACGUUGACGCAAAAGAUCAAAAAGCCACAAGACAAAAAUGACGACUCCACGGAGGUCCAAAAAGCUCCACUCACCGAAGAAAAGGUCGAAGAGGCAUCACCGGCGGAAACAACUGAAAAGAAACCUCAGCAGAACACGCACGCAGACAAAAGUAAAGAAGCAAAGGGCCAUAGUGCAUUGGAAAACCAUGCGGCAAACAUUCCAGAGAGAGAGUCAGACAGCAACAAGAAAAAGGCCGCACCAUCAGACAAGAAACAUUGUGCUGUAAAAGAUGUUGCUACCACAAACACGGUGGUAACCCAGGGCAGCACUCAAACAAAACGUGAACCGUUGAUCAUACAAAACAUGGCCAUCGAAGAAGGGACAAAAGACAAAGGGAUCGAACACCUGUACAACAACGUCAUGACAGCGAAUAACGACAAAGGGCACGAGAUUUUAAUAAAUACAGAGACGACAACAGUAACAGUCAGCCACAUGGCACAAAGCUUCGACAUUGGAAAGCCAGUGGGCAGCGAAACCAUGACAGUCAUGCUACAGAUGUUGAAAAAGCAACUCAGGGGCACAAAGAGAAAGAUUCUAUCAACAUACAACACCGCAUCAAUACGCAUGGCCAACCAUGAAGAUCCAUUGGAGUUCAAAAAUAAAGACUAA